rnacentral:rRNA from 1 species
ACCGGUGAGUUAUUGGUUGCUGCGUUUAGCCUAACCAAGUUUAACUUGGGGAGGCGUAGUGAAAGCGUGACCUAAUCGGUCGAUUUAGUAGCAACCAUUAGACCCGAAACCGGGUGAGCUAACCUUGGGCAGGGCGAACCCCGAUGAAAAUCGGGGGAAGGCCCGAACCCGUAUCUGUAGCAAUAGGUUGGGAUGACCUGAGGUUAGGGGCAAUAUGCCAAACGAACCCGGAGAUAGCUGGUUCUCCCCGAAAUAUAUUUAGGUAUAGCGGGAACGUUACAACAACACGGGGGUAGAGCACUGGAUGGUUACUGGCGACGCAAGUUGUCGGAACCAACCAAACUCCGAAUACCGAUGUUGCUUACGUUCCUAGUCAGACUGUUCGGGCUAAGCUGAUCAGUCGAGAGGGAAACAGCCCAGACUCCCAUCUAAGGCCUCUAAAUAGGGGCUAAGUUGCAAAGGAAGUCAAGUUCCUAAGACACCCAGGAGGUUGGCUUAGAAGCAGCCAUCCUUUAAAGAAAGCGUAACAGCUCACUGGCGGAUGGAAUUUGGCGCCGAAAAUGAUCGAGGAUUAAGCCCUUUGCCGAAGAUGGAGACCCUGCGCUCUGCGCAGGGUAGUAGGGGAGCGUCCCGAUGGCAGUGAAGGUGAACUGUAAGGUUUGCUGGAGCUAUCGGGAGUGAGAAUGCCGGUAUGAGUAGCGAGAGUCCCGUGAGAAUCGGGACCGCCGAAAACCCAAGGUUUCCUGCGCAAUGUAAAUCAGCGCAGGGUUAGUCGGCCCUUAGGGUGUUCCUCGAAAAUGGGGAGUAACUCGAAGGACAAGUCGUUAAAAUUCGACUACAGGGUAUGGAAUCGUGUAAGGGAAUAACGAGGUUGGAAGAGUCAAGCUACGUUCAUGCGCAAGCACUAAAUGUAGUUUAAUUAGCAAGAUAGAAAUGGUUGGAAAAUCCGCCAUUUUGUUUAAUCGAGCUAUGAUGAAAAAUCUUUUCGCAAGGAAAGGUGAUUUGAUAUUUUUCGGCUUCCGAGAAAAGUUUCAUUACGUCCUGAGUUUAUCGAAGGACAAAGCCAUAUCUUGCCGUACCGCAUAACCGACACAGGUGGGUUGGUCGAGAAGACUAAGGCGAUCGGGAGAAAGAUGAUCAAGGAACUCGGCAAAAAAGCUGGGCGUAACCUAUGGGAGAUGCCCUGCCCCGAAUAAUAUCGGGGCCGCAGCUAAAGUUUGCUUAGCGACUGUUUAUCUAAAACACAGGUCCCUGCAAAACCGAAAGGUAAAGUAUAGGGGCUGACGCCUGCCCAGUGCUGGUAAGUUAAUUAUCGGAGGUGACCCUCGCAAGAGGAAAGCUUUUGAUACAAGCUCCAGUAAACGGCAGCAGUAACUAUAACUGUUCUAAGGUAGCGAAGUUCCUUGUCGGGCGAGUUCCGACCCGCACGAAAGGCAGAACGACUGAGCAACUGUCUUGAUCAUCUACCCGGCGAAAUUGAGAUGGCCGUGAAGACGCGGCCUAGUUGUCCUUGGACAAAAAGACCCCGGGAGCUUUACUGUAGCUUGGCAUUUGAAAGUUUAUUUUAACUGUUGAGAAUAGGAGGGAGCCAGGUGCCAUCUGGUACCUGGCAAAAAUGAAAUACCUCUCUUUGAAAUAAGCAAUCAUCACCUCUUUGCCGCAUAAAAAUCCGGCAGAGGAACAGUGUUUGGCGGGCAGUUUAACUGGGGAGGUUGACUCCUACAGCGCAACGGAGUUGUACAAAGGUUGGCUAGCUUCGGAUGGAAAUCGAAGUGAUAGCGUAAAGGCACAAGCCAGCUUAACUGCGAGACCUACAAGUCGAGCAGAUGCGAAAGCAGGUCUUAAUGAUCCUCUGUAGCAUAGUGGUAUGCGCAGAGCUUAACGGAUAUAAGCUACCCCGGGGAUACAAAAUGUGUCCAGAUUCUAUGGUAACAUGGAAUCAGGCAUACGGCUAAUAACGGUGGAGCCCUCUUGUUUUAGCGGUUAAAGGUCUUUCCGCAAACGAGGGAAACAAAGGGUAAUACCGUGGGAAGUCGGUUCGGAAAACUCGGAAAAACUCAGUAAAUCAGAUAAGUCAGAUAAUCUGAUAAUCAGAAAAUCUGAAACACUGGUAGGCUGAGUAUUCUGAGCUAUUCUGAAUUUGACCCCGUAUCGACUGAACAAAAAUCCGAUGUCAGAUCGGAUAAGUAGUGAGAUAGCUUCUUAAUUAUAAGAGCUAUCAUACGCCGUACCCCCGCCUUUAGCGGGGUGAAGAUAUAGUCAGUGCCACAAGAAAUUGUGGAUUGUCAUUCUGCAUUGCAGAAUAACAUGAACAGGCUGAUCGCUCCCAAGCGUCCACAGCGACGGGGCGGUUUGGCACCUCGAUGUCGGCUCAUCUUAUCCUGGGGGUGGAGAAGCUCCCAAGGGUCGGGCUGUUCGCCCGUUAAAAAGGUACGCGAGCUGGGUUAAGAACGGCGUAAGCCAGUUCGGACUCUAUCCAGGACAACCGUUUGAGAUUUGAGAGGAUCCGUGCUUAGUACGAGAGGACUAGCGUGGGGGAAUCCCUGGUGUGCCAGUUGUUCCAAAAGAGCAGCGCUGGGUAGCUAUAUUCCCAACCGAUAACCGCUGAAAGCAUCUAAGUGGGAAGCGGUCCUCAAGAUAAGAUCUCGUGUCCCGAUUUAAUCGGGACGAAGACCCCUUGUAGACUACGAGGUUGAUAAGCGAAAGCUUGUCGUCCGCCGCAAGGCGGAGAUAGGCGGGCAGUGGAAGGACAGUAAUGUCUUAAGCUUACCCGUACUAAUGGUCAAAAAGUAACUAUUU